rnacentral:rRNA from 1 species
CCUACGGGGGGCAGCAGUGGGGAAUAUUGCACAAUGGGCGCAAGCCUGAUGCAGCCAUGCCGCGUGUGUGAAGAAGGCCUUCGGGUUGUAAAGCACUUUCAGCGGGGAGGAAGGCGUUAAGGUUAAUAACCUUGGCGAUUGACGUUACCCGCAGAAGAAGCACCGGCUAACUCCGUGCCAGCAGCCGCGGUAAUACGGAGGGUGCAAGCGUUAACCGGAAUUACUGGGCGUAAAGCGCACGCAGGCGGUCUGUCAAGUCGGAUGUGAAAUCCCCGGGCUCAACCUGGGAACUGCAUUCGAAACUGGCAGGCUAGAGUCUUGUAGAGGGGGGUAGAAUUCCAGGUGUAGCGGUGAAAUGCGUAGAGAUCUGGAGGAAUACCGGUGGCGAAGGCGCCCCCCUGGACAAAGACUGACGCUCAGGUGCGAAAGCGUGGGGAGCAAACAGGAUUAGAUACCCUGUAGUC